rnacentral:tRNA from 1 species
GCGGGUGUAGCUCAAUGGCAGAGUAUCGGCCUUCCAAGCCGUUUAUGAGGGUUCGAUUCCCUUCACCCGCUCCA